rnacentral:lncRNA from 1 species
GUGAAAAUCAAGAGCAAACAGUGAGGAAAGACAAGUCUUGUCAGUCUGGAGAAUGAGUUGGUUGAACCACCAGGCCCCGGAUCUAUGGCAGCGGAAGCAACAUUGGAAUUGUGUCUUGCUGCGUGCUAGCUGCACUCCAUGGUGGACAAGUUUAAAGGGUGUGAAGUCUUUCCACCACGGAGGCUGUGUGCCAAACAGGCAUUUCCCUGUUGCGGAGGAAUUCCCAGAUGGACCAAGAUGGGGACUGGGUCUUUGGGCCAAGUUUCUGGGCUGUGAGUCAAAAUUGCCCCCAAGACAGUGAACAUGGGGAGGGAGGCCGCAAGUAAAAAGAAAGGAUUGUGUCUUGCCUACAGCUCAUGCCUAGCUGAAUCAAUGAAGGGGAUGCAAGGGAGGGGUACACAAGUGGCAGGAAAAAAUGGACCACUACCCUGACCCUUAGAUGGGGUAAAAGGUAAGCCAGGGACUUAUGGAUCCUAAUUCAUCAGACUCUUCUUCCUGCAGCUUCCAAGGCCCCCUCAGAAAGGGUGCUCCUUACUGGUUCCUGUGCCUUAUAAAGAGCUGAGACUGCACGGGCAGCCCCGUUGUGCUGCCAAGAGGCUGGCCUUGGGACAACCUGUAGCUCACCUCUGCCCCAGGAUUAUAGCAAUGAUGGCUCUUGGACUACAGAAGUUACCAGGUGACAUUGCUUUCCCCUGAGCAAAGGGUUUUCUGUAAAUGAUACUUCAGCAGCUCUUAAAGCUGUACCUUUUUGCAUCUGGGAGUAUGGCAGUGACUGGUCCUUGAACAUGGAUGUGCUCCUUAGAUUUACUUGUGUUUUGCAAUCUUCAUUUUCUUCAGGUAUCAUACAUAUGUAAUAUUCUCUAAAAUGUGCUAUGUACUGAAGGAGAAGUUCUCAUCUUAUUCCAUAAAUGCAUUUUACUGGGACUGUAUGUAACACCUCUUCAAAGAAAAUUGUCUUAAUUUUAUUGCAUUUUUCCCUAUGCCUAUUAUUGAUUUGAUAAAACAAAAGUUGCAUCUUCUUAUAAAAAUGAGAAAUUGUGAGUGUUUGGAGUCUUAUUACGUACCUGUUUUAAAAUAUGCAGUUUCCAUGUGAUUUCUUUAACUAUUUAGCACUGCAAGGCGAAG